rnacentral:rRNA from 1 species
AACGAACGCCGGCGGCACGCCUAACACAUGCAAGUCGCACGAGAAAGUCCCCGCAAGGGGACCGGUAAAGUGGCAGACGGGUGAGUAACGCGUGGGUAACCUACCCUCGAGUGGGGGAUAACCCCGCGAAAGCGGGGCUAAUACCGCAUAACAUCCCGGAACGCGAGUUUCGGGAUCGAAGGUGGCUCGCAAGAGCUACCGCUCGGGGAGGGCUCACGUUCCAUCAGCUAGUUGGUGGGGUAACGCCUACCAAGGCGGNACGGAUAGCUGGUCUGAGAGGACGACCAGCCACACUGGCACUGAGACACGGGCCAGACUCCUACGGGAGGCAGCAGUGAGGAAUCUUGCGCAAUGGGACAAGUCUGACGCAGCGAUGCCGCGU